rnacentral:rRNA from 1 species
GAUGAACGCUGACAGAAUGCUUAACACAUGCAAGUCAACUGUGGCGGACGGGUGAGUAACGCGUAAAGAACUUGCCUCACAGUUAGGGACAACAUUUGGAAACGAAUGCUAAUACCUGAUACUGUGAGAGAGCUUUGCGUCCCAUUAGCCAGUUGGAGAGGUAACGGCUCACCAAGGCGAUGAUGGGUAGCCGGCCUGAGAGGGUGAUCGGCCACAAGGGGACUGAGAGACGGCCCUUACGCCUACGGGAGGAAGCAGUGAGGAAUGUUGGCCAAUGGACCAAAGUCUGAUCCAGCAAUUCUGUGUGCACGAUGAAGUUUUCGGAAUGUAAAGUGCUUUCAGUUGGGAGGCGGUACCAACAGAAGAAGUGACGGCUAAAUACGUGCCAGCAGCCGCGGUAAUAC